rnacentral:rRNA from 1 species
UACGUAGGUGACAAGCGUUGUCCGGAUUUACUGGGCGUAAAGAGCGCGCAGGCGGUCGUUCAAGUCGAGUGUGAAAGCCCCCGGCUCAACUGGGGAGGGUCACUCGAUACUGAUCGACUCGAAGGCAGGAGAGGGUAGUGGAAUUCCCGGUGUAGUGGUGAAAUGCGUAGAGAUGUGGAGGAACACCUGUGGCGAAGGCGCCUUGCUGGCCAAUUUCUGACGCUGAGGCGCGAAAGCGUGGGGAGCAAACAGG